GACGAACGCUGGCGGCGUGCUUAACACAUGCAAGUCGAACGGAAAGGCUCCAGCUUGCUGGAGUACUCGAGUGGCGAACGGGUGAGUAACACGUGGGUAAUCUGCCCUGCACUCUGGGAUAAGCCUGGGAAACUGGGUCUAAUAUUGGAUAUGACCUUUCUCCUUAUGGGGUUUGGUGGAAAGUUUUUCGGUGUAGGAUGAGCCCGCGGCCUAUCAGCUUGUUGGUGGGGUGAUGGCCUACCAAGGCGACGACGGGUAGCCGGCCUGAGAGGGUGAUCGGCCACAUUGGGACUGAGAUACGGCCCAGACUCCUACGGGAGGCAGCAGUGGGGAAUAUUGCACAAUGGGCGGAAGCCUGAUGCAGCGACGCCGCGUGAGGGAUGACGGCCUUCGGGUUGUAAACCUCUUUCAGCAGGGACGAAGCGUAAGUGACGGUACCUGCAGAAGAAGCACCGGCUAACUAUGUG
rnacentral:rRNA from 1 species